UAGAAUUCCAGGUGUAGCGGUGAAAUGCGUAGAGAUCUGGAGGAAUACCGGUGGCGAAGGCGGCCCCCUGGACGAAGACUGACGCUCAGGUGCGAAAGCGUGGGGAGCAAACAGGAUUAGAUACCCUGGUAGUCCACGCCGUAAACGAUGUCGACUUGGAGGUUGUGCCCUUGAGGCGUGGCUUCCGGAGCUAACGCGUUAAGUCGACCGCCUGGGGAGUACGGCCGCAAGGUUAAAACUCAAAUGAAUUGACGGGGGCCCGCACAAGCGGUGGAGCAUGUGGUUUAAUUCGAUGCAACGCGAAGAACC
rnacentral:rRNA from 1 species